GUGGGGAAUCUUGCGCAAUGGGCGAAAGCCUGACGCAGCCAUGCCGCGUGAAUGAUGAAGGUCUUAGGAUUGUAAAAUUCUUUCACCGGGGACGAUAAUGACGGUACCCGGAGAAGAAGCCCCGGCUAACUUCGUGCCAGCAGCCGCGGUAAUACGAAGGGGGCUAGCGUUGCUCGGAAUUACUGGGCGUAAAGGGCGCGUAGGCGGACAGUUUAGUCAGAGGUGAAAGCCCAGGGCUCAACCUUGGAAUUGCCUUUGAUACUGGUUGUCUUGAGUACGGGAGAGGUGAGUGGAACUCCGAGUGUAGAGGUGAAAUUCGUAGAUAUUCGGAAGAACACCAGUGGCGAAGGCGACUCACUGGCCCGUUACUGACGCUGAGGCGCGAAAGCGUGGGGAGCAAACAGGAUUAGAAACCCCGGUAGUCC
rnacentral:rRNA from 1 species